GCGGCGGUGGCAGCGAUCAGCGAGGUGCGGUUACGGGUCUUCAUGGGUGGUCUCCUUGUCUUGGGAAUGCACGGUGUCG
rnacentral:sRNA from 1 species